CCAUUAUACAAUCACUCUGCUGGUGUUUUUACCUCAGUUUCUCGUAAUAGCAGCUCUGUGGAUGUGGUUUUUCAUCAAAAUGCGUCUCAUUUCAAAACCAAACCGAAAACAAAAAAUCUGAUGCUCCACAUCUGUACAUCUGUACAUCUGUACAUCUGCUGUCUGUCCAUCAGAGCCGCUGGAGUGAUGUCAUUGUGUUCUUCCAUUGUGACAUCAUCACCUAGCAACAGUCAGAACUGUCAGCA